rnacentral:misc_RNA from 1 species
AAGGAUCAUUAAUAAACCUAGCGUUCGCGCACAAGGUAACCCUUGAAUAAACUACCCUUGUUGCUUUGGCGGGUCGCCUUUUAGGCCAGCGGCUUCGGCUGCUGCGUGCCCGCCAGAGGACCACAACUCUUGUUUUUAGUGAUGUCUGAGUACUAUAUAAUAGUUAAAACUUUCAACAACGGAUCUCUUGGUUCUG